ensembl:lncRNA
AUGCCUCUCGCUCUCGGGCUCCUAAUAGCAGCUCCUGAUAUUCUCGCUGCUUGCCAGGGACUGUGCCCUCCGCUAGAGAGCGCUAUUGGACCGUUUUCGCGCAUCCAACCCUCUCACUGCAGUCCCCACGCUCUAACAUUGACUGUCUCGCCGCAAAAGGCGCUUCGAGCAGCAUUGGAUCGAGUAACCAUGUCAGGCGUUUCCUCAGACACUCUGCGCGAUUCAGCCUUCAGAAUCCGAGGAACGCUACAAGGGUCUGGCAAAGACGGCCCGUUUAUGACGGCUCAUACAGCCGCCGCUUUUUCGCUAGCGGCAGAGCCCGAUGUUCAUCUUGUUGGAUUAAUUCCUGCCGUGGACACGCUUCAGGAUUAUACACAACGAGAUGCAACGGAUUUGACGCACGCGCUUCCCCGGCUUACGGACGCCGCGAGCUUUCCGUAUUCGGGCAUGUUAACGCGUAUGAAAACGCUGAAAAAGGCGGAAACCUUGAAACCACUGACGCUAUUUCGGGCCGCGUGGGAACGCUUGCCCGGCAUUUCGCAAUGGGUGUUACGCACGAUUCGUCUCGGAUACACCAUUCAGUUUCGAAAAGGCCCGCCUCCUUUCCGCGGAAUUCUUCCCACGGUUGUGAAACCAGAGGAAGUCGCGGUGCUGCGGCAAGAAAUGACAGCUCUGCUGAAGAAAGGGGCUAUAGAAGAAGUACACCCCUCUCAGAUGGAGUCAGGUUUUUACAGCCGCUAUUUUGUUGUACCAAAAAAAGGGGGCGGUUUGCGACCCAUAUUGGAUCUACGCCGUUUGAAUCUUGCACUCAGGACGAGCAAAUUCAAGAUGUUAACGGUAAAGUCCAUUUUGUCUCAGAUUCAACCAAACACUUGGUUUGUCACGAUCGAUCUGAAGGAUGCAUAUUUUCAUAUUCAGAUCAUCAAGAGACACAGGAAGUUCCUCAGAUUCGCUUUAGAGGGCAAAGCGUAUCAAUACCGUGUUCUUCCGUUCGGCUUAGCCCUGGCUCCCCGAACUUUUUCAAAAUGCAUGGACGCAGCUCUGGCCCCGUUGCGGCUCCAGGGCGUUCGUGUGUUGAAUUACUUGGACGAUUGGCUGGUGCUAGCUCAAUCACAGACUCAAGCACUCUCUCACCGAGAUUUAGUGCUGAAUCAUUUAAGAAGCCUGGGCUUAUGCACGAAUUUCCAGAAGAGUGUUUUAAUCCCCUCUCAACGGAUAACCUUUCUGGGAAUAGAUUUGGACUCUCGCGCGAUGACAGCCAGACUAUCUCUCCCGCGCGUUCAGUCUCUCACGUCAUGCGUGCGUCACUUCAAAGUAGGCCGCACAGUGACGGUGAGUUUGUGUCUCAGGCUGUUAGGUCUGAUGGCAGCGGCAUCCCCUGUAAUUCGUCUGGGCUUACUUCACAUGCGCCCUUUUCAGUGGUGGACGAAAAGUCAGAACAUUUCACCCCGUUGUUUUCCGCAUCGUACGAUUUCGGUGACACGGAGGUGUGUUAUGUCAAUAAAACAGUGGAUGUCAACCGAGUUCCUUCUAGCCGGAGUUCGGCUGGGGAUUUGUGCUUCCCGAGAGACUGUCACGACGGACGCGUCUUUGACCGGUUGGGGAGCUGUUUGUCAAGGGCGCCCAGCUCAUGGAGUGUGGACAGCGACACAACGCGGUUGGCACAUAAACAGGUUGGAACUACUGGCAGUUUUUCUAGCUCUCCAGUAUUUCUCAAAUCUGCUGACCGGCCGUCAUGUACUACUCAGGUCAGACAACAUGGCGGUUGUGUCAUACCUGAAUCAUCAAGGAGGGUUACGCUCUCGCCCCCUGUGCAGG